rnacentral:rRNA from 1 species
AGUGAACGCUGGCGGUAGGCCUAACACAUGCAAGUCGAACGGCAGCACAGUAAGAGCUUGCUCUUACGGGUGGCGAGUGGCGGACGGGUGAGGAAUACAUCGGAAUCUACUUUUUCGUGGGGGAUAACGUAGGGAAACUUACGCUAAUACCGCAUACGACCUACGGGUGAAAGCAGGGGAUCUUCGGACCUUGCGCGAUUGAAUGAGCCGAUGUCGGAUUAGCUAGUUGGCGGGGUAAAGGCCCACCAAGGCGACGAUCCGUAGCUGGUCUGAGAGGAUGACCAGCCACACUGGAACUGAGACACGGUCCAGACUCCUACGGGAGGCAGCAGUGGGGAAUAUUGGACAAUGGGCGCAAGCCUGAUCCAGCCAUACCGCGUGGGUGAAGAAGGCCUUCGGGUUGUAAAGCCCUUCUGUUGGGAAAGAAAAGCAGCAGGUUAAUACCCCGCUGUUCUGACGGUACCCAAAGAAUAAGCACCGGCUAACUUCGUG